CUUGAACCUUCAGCAUCCAGACAUUAAAUUGACAAGUGAGUAUAGUGCAUCCAACAUUAACUUCCUGGACUUGAAUAUCUAUGUAGACAAUGAAGGGAUUAAGACCAAGACUUUCUUUAAGAAGGUCGACGUCAAUGGUUACAUAGAAACGUCCAGUUGCCACUAUGAAUCCUGGUUACGAAGCAUCCCUAAGGGCCAGUUCCUUAGGCUGUUUAGGAACUGUAGUGAUGCUGAAGUGUUUGAAGAACAGGCAGUUUGCUUGAGGGACAGGUUUGUAGAGAAGAAAUAUGACGCCAAGGAAUUGGACAGUUGCAUUAAUUCCAUCAAGAAGAUGGACCGAAGUAAGGUUCUGAAGAAAAGGAUACCUAGGGAGGAGAAGAAGGGUGCAGACCAGGUACCAAUUAUUUUGAAUUAUAGUGAAGAUGCCAAACAAAUUAAGCAUAUUAUCAAUAGACAUUGGCGUAUCCUUAAACUAGAUCCGAAUCUGAGGGAAAUUAUUGGUGAUAGGCCACGUAUUAUUUAUAG